AUUUGAACAUUUUCUCUACAGGCUGGAGAGUCAUUUUUUCAUUGUAAUCCAUUUAUUGUCCUUGUAAAAUCAUUGACAGUCUGAAAUGGUGGCCUAUCGUUUUGUUUUGUGUUAUUUAAAAAGCCCUUACGUGUUUCAUCUCAUUAGCUAAACUACAAAAUUAUAUUAAAAGUCAUAUCCGUCACAUGUGCUGAAUCUUCCUACGUUCUUUAUAUGACUCAGUCUGUUGUGUUGACAUUUUUCAAGUAUUUUUUGGCAGUUUGCCAAUAGGUUACAUUGUUUCUCUUUGGUAUCAAAGCCAUCUUUCCUUUAUUGAAAAAACAUCUACUAAAUGUGUUAUUUAUAGACACAUGAAGUCAAUAGAUAUAUCAUUAAUUUUUGAGCAGGGUUUUAACACUUUGGCAUGUUAUAACACCAUCAGCUACCAUAUUCAAUUUGUAACAUUCUAUAUGGAGUAUAAUUAAGAGAACAUUGUAUUAGGCCCCCAAGGACAUAGAGUUAUGCCCAGUUCAAAGAACAUAAGUAAUUCAGCCUUUAUGUCAUCUAAAACUGAAGUGAGACAAGAAGGAGAGGUCCUGAUGGAACUGUUCGGAUCCCUCAAGCUGUCACAUCUGGAGGAUUUGGGGUUAUAGGCCUGUGCUGCUGACAUCACUCCCCCACUUAUGGGGAGCUGGGAAUUUAGCUGGAACUCCUGAUAUACUAGGCUUUGCUCUCUAUGCACUGAGGUACAUACCCAGAGUGAUACACUUUUGAAAGGCAACUCUUUUUUUCUUUCAUUCUAUUUCCUGAUCGUGUCUCCUCCCUUAUCCUAUUUCUCUCGAGUAUGCUCAUUGUUUUCCACUCCAGUUAAUUCUUUGGACCAGGAAUUUAAAUAGCUUACUAUUAAUGGUAUUGGGAUCUGCUUGGGUUUGUUGCAAAGGUAGGAGAAGUAGUAUUCUGCCAAUUGUGGAAUAUUUGUUAGCAUUUCUUCCUCAUUCCGUUAUACCAAAUCAUUGUCAUUCUCCAGCUAUAGCAAUCAGAAUUAUCUCCAAACACUGAAAUGUAUGAAAAGAACACAAAGUUAGCAGACAUCUGAAUUCUGUUAGCAAUAGUCUUUCUGGAAUGUUACAUAUUUAUUAGCAAAAUGAUGUUGGCAAAUCAAUUUAUACCUGAGUCGUAGUCUUUUUAAAAUAAGAGUAAUAACUAACUCACAAGCUUGUUGCACAGAUUAAAGAAUUUUAAUUAUAAUUAUAUAAUUAUAUAUCAAAAGAAAGUACAUACUUGGUCAACAUUUAUUAAUAUGCAUCUAAUGUAAAGGUUUGCUGAAAAAUGCUAACAAAGUGCUAGGACAACAGGGCAUUGGCUUACUAUUCACUUAUAUCGAAAAUUACAUUUGAACCAUGUCUUUUAUCUGAUCAAGUAAACAUG
rnacentral:lncRNA from 1 species